ACUAGAUGUGGCCCAUUCGGGCCCAAUAAUUCAUGUCGGGCUUUCUUCAACUCAUGAGCUUCAAUCGACGGAGCAGAAGCUCGACUCCCUGCUUUAGGGCUCACCACAACCGAUGGGCGAUUCCGGCGUUCAUGGUCGACGCAGUAGCCCCGUUGACGUCGCCCAGCUCAACGCUGCCUCCUAUCUCGAUCCCCACUAUUGGGACGAGAGGUUCAAAGACUACUCCCACUUCCAACACCUCCUCCGCCCCUUCCUCAAUCCAUCCCACUCGAUAACUUCACCGUGUUCGCUUUCUCACUGGUUCAGGCCGACAUGCAAGACCUACCUUUCGGCAGUGAGUCCUGUCCUUCAAUAUUGUGAUCGAGAAAGGCUGAAAUGCUCUUUCCAUGUAUAAUUCACUUUUGCAAUCUGUAUCAUAAUUGCAUUUUCCUGUU